rnacentral:siRNA from 1 species
CAAAAGAAGCAAUGCCUACGAAUUGUC